CCCUACGGGACGCAGCAGUGGGGAAUAUUGCACAAUGGGGGGAACCCUGAUGCAGCGACGCCGCGUGGGUGAAGGAGUAUUUCGGUAUGUAAAGCCCUAUCAGCAGGGAAGAACAAUGACGGUACCUGACUAAGAAGCACCGGCUAAAUACGUGCCAGCAGCCGCGGUAAUACGUAUGGUGCAAGCGUUAUCCGGAUUUACUGGGUGUAAAGGGAGCGCAGGCGGCGCGUUAAGCCUGGUGUGAAAGCCCGGGGCCCAACCCCGGGACUGCUCUGGGAACUGUGCGGCUGGAGUGCGGGAGGGGC
rnacentral:rRNA from 1 species